GCGUUUGUGGUGCAACGGUUAGCGUAUACUUCCGGAAAGAGUUAGAUCUGGGUUUGAAUCCCGGUUGACGUA